GAUGAACGCUGGCGGCGUGCCUAAUACAUGCAAGUCGAGCGAACGGACGAGAAGCUUACUUCUCUGAUGUUAGCGGCGGACGGGUGAGUAACACGUGGAUAACCUACCUAUAAGACUGGGAUAACUUCGGGAAACCGGAGCUAAUACCGGAUGAUAUUUUGAACCGCAUGGUUCAAAAGUGAAAGACGGUCUUGCUGUCACUUAUCGAUGGAUCCGCGCUGCAUUAGCUAGUUGGUAAGGUAACGGCUUACCAAGGCAACGAUGCAUAGCCGACCUGAGAGGGUGAUCGGCCACACUGGAACUGAGACACGGUCCAGACUCCUACGGGAGGCAGCAGUAGGGAAUCUUCCGCAAUGGGCGAAAGCCUGACGGAGCAACGCCGCGUGAGUGACGAAGGUCUUCGGAUCGUAAAACUCUGUUAUUAGGGAAGAACAUAUGUGUAAGUAACUGUGCACAUCUUGACGGUACCUAAUCAGAAAGCCACGGCUAACUACGUG
rnacentral:rRNA from 1 species